CGUAUGACGCCCCCUCCUCUCGAUCCAGAUGCAACCUCUUUCCCGCUCUGCCGCCGCCCCUACUGCUCCAUCGCCGCCCCAUCGAUCUGUUUCCUACAUCGAUUGUCAAGAAUGCCCCAGCCGCCAUAGCGAAGCUCUUCGCCGCCACCAAGAUCCGAUAGUAGCCUCCGCCGCCGAUGUCCGGCUGAGACGCGCCAAGGAGAUCCCGCGACCCCGCCAUGUGGGUGAGUACCCCUCAUUCAGAUCUCGAUUCGCCCCCACUUGACGGCUUGCUCCCGCCCCCCGUGCAGAUCCUCUCCGCGGCCAACGAGCGCUAGCAGCCCACACAGCAAUUGGCCGGCUCCUCUACUUGCUCUGGUCCGCUGGUCCACCUGCAGGGCAACGCCGGGUUGCGUCUUCAAUUGAAUCGAAUAUGUAUGGACUAUCCCUCGCCCGCACGUAUUGCAGCUAGCCAUCCUCGUUUGGCUGCCGCUCGUCCGUCUGCUCUGUGUAGCUCGUUCGGUUGUCGCUCGUUCGUGCUGGCUCUCCCACGGUCUCCACGGACGCCACGACCAUGGCCAUCACAAUCCGUGGCAAGAAGAAGAGCCAGACAUGGCAAAUCCAGUGGCUAACUUGGCGUGGUUCUAUUGGGUUGUUGAGAGUGUGGGAGAGGGCGUGACCCAGCUUGUGGCAGGUGAUCAUGUCCUGCCAGUGUUCACUGGCGCAUGCAAGGAUUGUGCUCAUUGCAAGUCAGAGGAGAGCAACAUGUGUUACCUCCUCAGAAUCAAUGUCAACCAAGGCAUGAUGACUGGUGACCGGUGACGGGCAGUCCUGCUUCACCGUCGGUUGGAAGCCUAUAUUCCGCUUCGUCAGAACCUCUACCUUCAGCGAGUACACAGUGAUCCAUGUUGGGUGCCUAGUGAAGAUCAACCCGGAGGCACCUCCGGACAAAGUUUGUGUUCUGAGCUAUGGUAUCUCAACUGGAUUAAAAAAAAGAUGCCCUUGCUGCUCGCCAAACACGGUGUUUCCCCGGGAGUGACAUGGACACUCUAUGCCCUUGCUGCUCGCCAAACACGGUGUUUCCCCGGAUGUGAUCUCUGCGGUGAUGAGGUCAUGCAGCAACAAAAAGCCCAUCUACUUUAGCCACAUUUCUCCCCCACAUAUGGGCUGGAUUUUGGAGAAUCCAGACUGUCCAGACGGUUGGAAUUUGAGAAGCCCGUUGGGCGCCCAUUUGAUGUCAGAGCAUGCCCGGACGUAAGAGGUAGAAAUGAGCUUGGCCCUUGGAGAUGACCUUAACUAUUUAUUUGAUUCAUUUAUGUGCAUUAUAGCACAUAGCAACGCACUUUACCUAAAAAAGAACCUACCUGACUGAAGCCAUCUCUUGUUUCCACUCCUUCCUGACCUAGCAAAAUGGCCCGCUUAGGCCGGCGGUGGACAUAAGAAGCAUGACGAACAUUGAGCUAUAGAGGAACAUUAUGAAAGAGGUUGGACAUGCUAGAGGAGACCAUAUGCCAAGACAAAACGCAUCGGCCAUCAAUGAGGAGUUGGACCUCCCACGAGGUUUUUUUUUUGAAUUAGACCCGCUCACCAGGCUAAUUGCAAGCAUCGGGUAAUUGUUGUGAUUUUUGCAUGUAUGUGUCUGGUUAUUCUGAAGCUAUUUAAUAUAUUAAUGGUGUCAAGAGGAGAAGUCCAGGUUCCUCAUGUCAAGUACAAGUUUCUCUCCAAAGAAAAUUGUCUUUAUACAAUAAGAUAGUACUUACUGUGUUUUUUGCAUGACGUCAUGGUUCUUCCUUGGAUUACAGGGUUUGCGCCAAUGGCUGCAAGCCGAGGUUGCCUUAGUUGUCACUGACAUUUGGGCACUACAUUUUGGUCCUUAUUUCGGUGAGAAGAUGAUCAUAGUUCUUCUAUUUUGAUUAACCGUGUUAUGAUAAAUACAAAGAAUCUCAUGUUUUGCGUGUGUAUCAAAGAAACAAGCAUCAACUGCUGCUGAACAACAAUAAAGUUUGGCUACUUAGGCUGUAACAGAAAUAUGGAGAAUGAUUUGAGGGAUUGUAAAUGGUUGAGAUAGAGAAUCAUUUGAGCCAAUGUAAAUGGCUAAGAUAGCAACAUAUGCACAUCUGAUAUUGAUUCGGUUUUCUAUGAAAGAUUUUGCAUUACAGGCACCAGCGGAGGGUCCCGGCCCCCUUUUCAUGUGAAACAUUGCAAGGAUAAGCUUGUCCUAAUACUAAACUCGUUGUUAAUCUUUCAGCCACUCUAAUCUUUCUAGUCUUUUUGGCCCUGCCUUCAAUUUUGUUCACGCCCAGUCACUGAUUACAGGGAUCUCCUGCUUGGUGAAAGUUGUGGUGUCAAUGAGAAGGGCAAGGAGCACGAGCAUGUGAGAGAAAUAAGGGAGUGCAGAGAGCAGGGACUGGAUGCUCCGUCAUGAAGUGGUGUCAUAGUAGCUAGCUAAAGGGACGACGAUGCAUGCAUUCAUUUGCAUAACAGAAUACAAAUAUGUUGCAUGAGUCAUCAAUUCAAGUGAGAAGAAAUUGUUUCAUGUCAUUUGUACUGGACAAAAGCGGAAACAAAUUGUCUUUAUAACAGCUAAUCCAACAACACAAAUACUUUUCUAGCUAUUUUUCUUUGUAUGGAUGAUUUUAAUCCUGACAUAGGAGGGUUCGUGUGAUUGAAACUAUCAGCUCUCAUGCAAUGCUUAAAAAAGAAAAAUGAGAGCAAUUUGGGAUUUUUGAAGUAUUA